GUGCUCACUUUGGAAGUACAUAUAUUAAAAUUGGAAUGAUAGAGAGAUUAGCAUGGCCCCUGUGCAAGGAUGACAUUCAAGUUUGUGAAUCAUUCCAAAAAUAA
rnacentral:snRNA from 1 species